rnacentral:rRNA from 1 species
AGCGAACGCUGGCGGCAGGCUUAACACAUGCAAGUCGAACGGGCGUAGCAAUACGUCAGUGGCAGACGGGUGAGUAACACGUGGGAACGUACCUUUUGGUUCGGAACAACACAGGGAAACUUGUGCUAAUACCGAAUAAGCCCUUACGGGAAGAUUAUCGCCGAAAGAUCGGCCCGCGUCUGAUUAGCUAGUUGGUGAGGUAAUGGCUCACCAAGGCGACGAUCAGUAGCUGGUCUGAGAGGAUGAUCAGCCACACUGGGACUGAGACACGGCCCAGACUCCUACGGGAGGCAGCAGUGGGGAAUAUUGGACAAUGGGCGCAAGCCUGAUCCAGCCAUGCCGCGUGAGUGAUGAAGGCCCUAGGGUUGUAAAGCUCUUUUGUGCGGGAAGAUAAUGACGGUACCGCAAGAAUAAGCCCCGGCUAACUUCGUG